AUUGAACGCUGGCGGCAGGCUUAACACAUGCAAGUCGAGCGGGGUGAUGGUGCUUGCACUAUCACUUAGCGGCGGACGGGUGAGUAAUGCUUAGGAAUCUGCCUAUUAGUGGGGGACAACAUCUCGAAAGGGAUGCUAAUACCGCAUACGUCCUACGGGAGAAAGCGGGGGAUCACUUGUGACCUUGCGCUAAUAGAUGAGCCUAAGUCGGAUUAGCUAGUUGGAGGGGUAAAGGCCUACCAAGGCGACGAUCUGUAGCGGGUCUGAGAGGAUGAUCCGCCACACUGGGACUGAGACACGGCCCAGACUCCUACGGGAGGCAGCAGUGGGGAAUAUUGGACAAUGGGGGGAACCCUGAUCCAGCCAUGCCGCGUGUGUGAAGAAGGCCUUAUGGUUGUAAAGCACUUUAAGCGAGGAGGAGGCUCUUUUGGUUAAUACCCAAGAUGAGUGGACGUUACUCGCAGAAUAAGCACCGGCUAACUCUGUGCCAGCAGCCGCCGUAA
rnacentral:rRNA from 1 species